GACAGAGGGUGCAAACGUUGUUCGGAAUUACUGGGCGUAAAGCGCGUGUAGGCGGCUUUGCAAGUCGGGUGUGAAAUCCCUCGGCUCAACCGAGGAACUGCACUCGAUACUGGUUGGCUAGAGUCCGGGAGGGGAUGGUGGAAUUCCCAGUGUAGCGGUGAAAUGCGUAGAUAUUGGGAAGAACACCGGUGGCGAAGGCGGCCAUCUGGACCGGAACUGACGCUGAGCGCGAAAGCCAGGGGAGCGAAUGGG
rnacentral:rRNA from 1 species